AGCAAAGGGCUUGACGCUAGCGAUUUACAAUCACGGCUAGUGACAAAACCUUUGUGGG
rnacentral:pre_miRNA from 1 species